ensembl:snRNA U4 U4 spliceosomal RNA
AGCUUUGUGCAAUGGCAGUAUCAUAGCCAAUGAGGUUUAUCCGAGGUGUGAUUUUUGCUAACUAUCAACUUUUCUCAAUACCCUGCCAUGACCACUUGAAAUAUAGUCAGCACUGGCAUUUUUGACAGUCUCUACAGAGA